rnacentral:lncRNA from 1 species
GGUGGGAGUACUGUCCCCAGUGGGGUUCAGUGCUGUCCCUCCAGGUUCACUACCACCCCUUUUGGCUCAGCACUGGGGUUUGAACCUGGGGCCUCGUGCAUGGAAGGAAGGCAUCAAUCACUCUGCCGCUGAGCUGUGUUUCUACAGGGUCUUGGUAAGUUAGCCACGUUGGGUUAAAACCGAGUUGGGAGCUCAGGCAGGCCUUGAGUUUCCAAUCCCCCUGCCUCCGCUUUCUGAGUAGAUAGGAUUACAGACCUGGGGCCACAGGGCUUGAUUCCCCACCCCCUCAUUUCUGGAAAUCACUAAGAAAAAACGGUAAACAGUUUAAUUUUUAACUCAGAGUAGCUAGCUGCCUGGUUGUUGCUGACAGGAAGUCACUCUCAGGCAGUGCAUACACCCUGUGUUGUCCCAGCCAAAGAGAAAGCAGGGCCUGUACUGGACACCUCAAAUGCCUCCAUCUGCAGAGACAGAACCCAGGUAGUCCCUAGGAAGUUCUGCUCAGCUGUUAGUAAACCACAGACUUCAGGAGGGAAGGCUCUGCACUUGUCUGUGGGUAUCCUGUUGCUGUGUCUUUGGUUGAAAAUCAAUGAAGUCUCCAGGCAGAAGUGGUGCAUGUCUUUACUAGCACUUGGGAGGCAGAGGUAGGAGGACUUAAGAGUUCAAGGCCAAGUAUGGCAGUAGUGGGUGCACACCUUUAAUCCCAAGAGAGAGAGAGAGAGAGAGAGAGAGAAAGAGGAAAGGAGGAGGAACAAUAAUUUUUUAUGUUCCUCACUUUAGAUUUUGCUACUUAUUCACUCACUUAUUCCUGUGGAUGUCUAUAACCUGAAAGACCCUCCUCUUCCCAUUUUGCUCAAUAGCCCCUUGCUCACUUCUCCGUGAAAAGUAUUAAACCAUAAUUUAUUCUCUAAGACACAAAGCAAGAGGCGUCUUCUUUCAUGGGGGACACUAUGCUCCUCCCCCAAAGCUCCGACCCGUCUCUUCACUCUGCAGCCACUCUGCCAAUUGGUCCCUACAGCUUUCCAUCCUUACCGCGGUCUUCUUUGUAAAGCCCUCUUCCCCACUGUACACAUGCUUUGAGGGGUAAACUGAGUCUCACUCACCACUGUCUUCUGAGAAGCUAGUAUCAGACUUUGUGUGAUGCCAGAUAACAGUUUACUGAACACAUUCAAAACGGAAUGAGCUAUGAAAUGACUGGAGCAGAGGUAGGAAGCGGCCAUCCGCUAGAGUGGAGGUGGCGUAAAGUCCCACCUAGUCUCUGAGAACAGCCACUCAAGGACUUCAGGAAACCAGUGCCCCACCCCCACCCCUAAAUGAGGCAGCAUAUGCCUAAUGUGUUUGUGCUGAACCAAAGUACUUGUUUCACAUGCCCCCUUCCCUCCCCCGACUCUCCAGAUGUUGAGCUCAGCUGGCAGGCUUCAUCUACAAACAAGCUGUCUUCACUGGAGGCCACACUGUUAUUCCCCAAGGGAAGUUCCGCUGGGGAGAUGUCCACACUUGCCAGACCUUCUGCCUUGCAGGACUAAGUUGAGAAGCCU